UCAUUAAAUCAGUUAUAGUUUAUUUGAUAGUACCUUACUACAUGGAUAACCGUAGUAAUUCUAGAGCUAAUACAUGCUAAAAUCCCCGACUUCUUGGGAGGGGUGCAUUUAUUAGAUCCAAAACCAAUGAGUGGGGGCAACUCCACUCCUCUUGAUGAUUCAUGAUAACUUUGCGAAUCGCAUAGCCUUGAGCUGGCGAUGAUUCAUUCAAAUUUCUGCCCUAUCAACUUUCGAUGGUAGUGUAGUGGACUACCAUGGUGAUAACGGGUAACGGAGAAUUAGGGUUCGAUUCCGGAGACGGUGCCUGAGAGAUGGCAACGACUUCCAAGGAAGGCAGCAGGCGCGCAAAUUACCCAAUCCGAAUACCGGGAGGUAGUGACAAUAAAUAACAAUACCGGUCCUAAAAAGGUCUGGUAAUUGGAAUGAGUACAAUUUAAACCCCUUAACAAAGAACAAUUGGAGGACAAGUCUGGUGCCAGCACCCGCGGUAAUUCCAGCUCCAAUAGCGUAUAUUAAAGUUGUUGCAGUUAAAAAGCUCGUAGUUGGAUUUUGACUUUCACUUUCAAGAGGAUCGGUCUGCCUCCACGUGAGGUGUGCACUGUCCUCGACAUCCUUCCAGCGGUCUUGGUUCUAUCUGCCCUUAACUGGGUGGGUAGAUACCUCCCGCUCGUUUACUUUGAAAAAAUUAGAGUGUUUAAAGCAGGCGGUCUCCGCCACUGAAUACAUUAGCAUGGGAUAAUGGAAUAGGAUUGUCUUUCCGAUUUCGUUGGUUUCCGGAACGGACGAUAAUGAUUAAUAGAGAUAGUUGGGGACAUUUAUAUUCCAUGGUCAGAGGUGAAAUUCUUGGAUUCAUGGAAGAUAAACAAGUGCGAAAGCAUUUGUCAAGGAUGUUUUCAUUAAUCAAGAACGAAAGUUAGGGGAUCGAAGACGAUCAGAUACCGUCGUAGUCUUAACCAUAAACGAUGCGGACCAGGGAUUGGGAGACGUUACGUGGAUGACUCCCCCAGCACCUUAUGAGAAAUCAUAAGUCUUUGCGUUCCGGGGGGAGUAUGGUCGCAAGGCUGAAACUUAAAGGAAUUGACGGAAGGGCACCACCAGGAGUGGAGCCUGCGGCUUAAUUUGACUCAACACGGGGAAACUCACCAGGUCCAGACAUAGUAAGGAUUGACAGAUUGAGAGCUCUUUCUUGAUUCUAUGGGUGGUGGUGCAUGGCCGUUCUUAGUUGGUGGAGUGAUUUGUCUGGUUAAUUCCGAUAACGAACGAGACCUCAGCCUGCUAACUAGUGGGUUCAACCUUCUGCACGGGUGAAGUCUAGGCGAGGGGGUGCCUCGUGUAUCUUCUCUCCUAGUUGGAUCCUUGACGAGUUGGAUCUCAAUACAUUGGCGUAAAAAACCGAUACUUCUUAGAGGGACUAUUCGCGUCUAGUGAAUGGAAGUUUGAGGCAAUAACAGGUCUGUGAUGCCCUUAGAUGUUCUGGGCUGCACGCGCGCUACAAUGACUAUCUCAACGAGUUUUUCAACCUUGGCCGACAGGUCUGGGUAAUCUUCUCAAAGGUAGUCGUGCUGGGGAUAGACUAUUGUAAUUAUUAGUCUUCAACGAGGAAUUCCUAGUAAGUGCAGGUCAUCAACCUGCGCUGAUUACGUCCCUGCCCUUUGUACACACCGCCCGUCGCUCCUACCGAUUGAAUGAUCCGGUGAAAUCUUGGGAUUGAAGGGCACACUUGAGGGGCAACUCUCAAGCAACCUUUUGAGAACUUGCUUGAACCUUAUCAUUUAGAGGAAGGAGAAGUCGUAACAAG
rnacentral:rRNA from 1 species